AUUUUUGGAGAUUUUCAAGUCCAAGGGAGGACGUGUCGGCAAGAAACUACAGGAAUACCUGCAACAUUUCACGCCACGAAGUAUGGAUGUUACUGUGAACCGAACAAUAGUCCUUCGUAGGCUUCCUGUCAUCCUUGGAGAUGAGAAUGCAGACUUUUUCAAGACAUGCUUUGACUGUGAUGAACCUGACGUGUCCCACACCUCAAUUGGGAUCCUGACAGUCAUUUCUGAGGAUGACCCAGGCUCUCCUGACUCACUCCACCUAAAGGCUUCAGGUACUGCAAUCAUUUUGGAGGGAACAAUGGUGAUG